GACGAACGCUGGCGGCGUGCUUAACACAUGCAAGUCGAACGAAGCUUGAUUACGGAUUCUUCGGUUGAAGUAGGAUAUGACUGAGUGGCGGACGGGUGAGUAACGCGUGAGUAACCUGCCCUUCAGAGGGGGAUAGCGUUUGGAAACGAACGGUAAUACCGCAUAAUGUAUUUUGACCGCAUGAUCGAAAUACCAAAGAUUUAUCGCUGAAGGAUGGACUCGCGUCUGAUUAGGUAGAUGGUGGGGUAACGGCCUACCAAGCCGACGAUCAGUAGCCGGAGUGAGGGGUUGAGCGGCCACCUUGGGACGGAGACACGGCCCAGACUCCUACGGGAGGCAGCAGUGGGGAAUAUUGCACAAUGGGCGCAAGCCUGAUGGAGCAUCGCCGCGUGAAGGAAGACGGUUUUCGGAUUGUAAAAUUCUGUUCUUAGUGAAGAAUAAUGACGGUAGCUAAGGAGCAAGCCACGGCUAACUACGUG
rnacentral:rRNA from 1 species